UACGAGGGGGGCGAGCGUUGUUCGGAAUUAUUGGGCGUAAAGGGUGCGUAGGCGGUUUGGUAAGUCUUGUGUGAAAUCUACAGGCUCAACUUGUAGUCUGCACGAGAAACUGCCGGGCUUGAGUGUGGGAGAGGUGAGUGGAAUUCCUGGUGUAGCGGUGAAAUGCGUAGAUAUCAGGAGGAACACCUGUGGCGAAGGCGGGUCUCUGGGCCGAUACUGACACUGAGAAGCGAAAGCGUGGGGAGCGAACAGG
rnacentral:rRNA from 1 species